UUUUAUUCUUCCUUUGUUGGUCUAAUAUUUUCCGAGACUUUGUACUCGAUGUUACUAGUAUAGUAACAUUGAGUACAAAGUCUCGGAAAAUAUUAGUCCAACAAAGAAGGAAUAA